GUAAAAAAACUGAGUAUUUCUUCCACCACUGUCAGAAGCUAAGCAAGACAGGGCCUGGUUAAUAUUUGGAUGGGAGACUUCUUGGGAAUACCGGGCACC
rnacentral:rRNA from 1 species